UACGUAGGGGGGCUAGCGUUGUCCGGAAUCAUUGGGCGUAAAGAGCGUGUAGGCGGUCCGGUAAGUCCGCUGUGAAAGUCGGGGGCUCAACCCUCGAAUGCCGGUGGAUACUGUCGGGCUAGAGUGCGGAAGAGGCGAGUGGAAUUCCUGGGUGUAGCGGUGAAAUGCGCAGAUAUCAGGAGGAACACCUAUUGCGAAGGCAGCUCGCUGGGACGUAACUGACGCUGAGACGCGAAAAGCGUGGGGAGCAAACAGG
rnacentral:rRNA from 1 species